rnacentral:rRNA from 1 species
GCUUAAAAUCCAAAGGACUUGACGGUGCCCCAUCCCCCUAGAGGAGCCUGUUCUGUAAUCGAUGACCCCCGCUACACCUCACCAUUUUUUGCCUCCAUGCAGCCUGUAUACCUCCGUCGUAAGCUUGCCAUAUGAAUGACUCAUAGCGGGCACAAUGAGAUUUUCGUCAACACGUCAGGUCAAGGUGCAGCUUAUAAAAUGGCACGUAAUGGGCUACAAUUUCUAACUUAGAACAAACGAAUAACCGUCUGAAAACACGGUCAUGAAGGUGGAUUUAGUAGUAAAGAGGAAAAAUAGUGCCCUCUUUAAUAAGUGGCCAUGGGACGCGUACAAACCGCCCGUCACCCUCUUCAAUAGCAUAACUUUAGUUUAUAACACACUCUAGCACUUUAGAGGAGGCAAGUCGUAACACGGUAAGUGUACUGGAAAGUGCACUUGGAUAUGCAAAAUGUAGCUUAGUAAAGCCCUCCGCUUACACCGGAGAGACAUCUGUUGAAACCAGAUCAUUUUGAGCUGUAAAUCUA